CCUACGGGGGGCAGCAGUGAGGAAUAUUGGUCAAUGGGCGAGAGCCUGAACCAGCCAAGUCGCGUGAGGGAAGACGGUCCUAUGGAUUGUAAACCUCUUUUGCCGGGGAGCAAAAAGCGGUACGUGUACCGCAUCGAGAGUACCCGGAGAAAAAGCAUCGGCUAACUCCGUGCCAGCAGCCGCGGUAAUACGGAGGAUGCGAGCGUUAUCCGGAUUUAUUGGGUUUAAAGGGUGCGUAGGCGGGAUGCCAAGUCAGCGGUAAAAAUGCGGUGCUCAACGCCGUCGAGCCGUUGAAACUGGCGUUCUUGAGUGGGCGAGAAGUAGGCGGAAUGCGUGGUGUAGCGGUGAAAUGCAUAGAUAUCACGCAGAACUCCGAUUGCGAAGGCAGCAUACCGGCGCCCUACUGACGCUGAGGCACGAAAGCGUGGGUAUCGAACAGGAUUAGAUACCCUAGUAGUC
rnacentral:rRNA from 1 species